UACCGCGGUUAGACGAGAGGCCCAAGUUGAUAGACUCCGGCGUAAAGAGUGGUUAAGAUAACAAAAAUACUAAAGCCAAAUAGCUACAGGGCUGUUAUACGCAUCCGACAGCUAGAGGCCCAACCACGAAAGUCGCUUUACUAUACUGAACCCACGAAAGCCAAGGAA
rnacentral:rRNA from 1 species